AUUGAACGCUGGCGGCAGGCCUAACACAUGCCAGUCGAGCGGAGCGGCGGACGGGUGAGUCAUGCCUAGGAAGCUGCCUGGGAGCGGGGGAUAACGUCCGGAAACGGGCGAUAAUACCGCAUACUAUCAGAUGAGCCUAGGUCGGCUUAGCUAGUUGGUGGGGUAAAGGCCUACCAAGGCGACGCGCCGUAACUGGUCUGAGAGGAUGAUCAGUCACACUGGAACGGCGACACGGUCCGUACUCCUACGGGAGGCAGCAGUGGGGAAUGGUGGGCAAUGGGCGAAAGCCUGAUCCAGCCAUGCCGCGUGUGUGAAGAAGGUCUUCGGAUUGUAAAGCACUGUUGGUUGGGAGGCGGUAUCAGCAGAAUAAGCACCGGCUAACUGCGUGCCAGCAGCCGCGGUAAUAC
rnacentral:rRNA from 1 species